GAUGAACGCUAGCGGCAGGCCUAACACAUGCAAGUCGAGGGAGAAGCCCUUCGGGGCAGAAACCGGCGCACGGGUGCGUAACGCGUAUGCAACCUACCUUUCACAGGGGGAUAGCCCGAAGAAAUUUGGAUUAAUACCCCAUAAUAUUAUUGGAUGGCAUCAUUUGAUAAUUAAAACUGAGCUGGUGAAAGAUGGGCAUGCGUCCUAUUAGCUAGUUGGAGUGGUAACGGCACCCCAAGGCUACGAUAGGUAGGGGUCCUGAGAGGGAGAUCCCCCACACUGGUACUGAGACAGGGACCAGACUCCUACGGGAGGCAGCAGUGAGGAAUAUUGGUCAAUGGUCGGAAGACUGAACCAGCCAUGCCGCGUGCAGGAAGAAUGCCUUAUGGGUUGUAAACUGCUUUUAUAUGGGAAGAAUAAGGAGUACGUGUACUUUGA
rnacentral:rRNA from 1 species